UGUUCCAUUUCCACACGUACAUUUUACAUUUUAUAUUAAGUUACAUCGAUUAUUUCCCUGAUAUGUUUGCUAUUGGAAUUGACACUUGUGGCAUAAAACUAGAGGGGGAUAGUGGAAGCUAUGGCAGUGUUGGAAGCCCAGUUGGUGGCCCCGAAUGUCGUAGCGACUAUGACGGUUUGCAGGCUCAAUGUGAUCAGGCGAUGCAUCAGCUUCAGCUACUUAGGCAUAAGCACUCCGAUACCAUAAGACGGCUAAUUAUAAGGGCUUGUAAAAAGAAGUCUGUAAUGCACAGGUGUGAGAUUACUAUGAAAGAAUUGGAGUAUUAUCGGGGGCAACAUAUAGCAGUCAUGAAUCAACUAGAAGCCACAUCGCAAGAAAGCUCUUCGUUACGAGCAAAAUAUGGUGAUCUGGCAAACGACAAGCAACGGUUGGACCGGGAGGUCCAGUCACUGCAGAAAGAACUUUCGGAAUUGCAGCGCAUGCAGAACCAAGAGGUACUCGUCGCCGAUGCUACGGGUAACGAUGCUAUGAAUCAGCACUAUCUGUCGGCGUUACGAAAAUACGAAGCUGUUAAGGACGAAUACGAUUCCCUCAGGAAACGAUACGACGACCUUAUUGCGUCUCAUUCUUCCGCCGUUAAUAAGCUAGAGUUAUCGCAAGAGGAAGCAAAGAGACUAAAGAAGCAGUACGACAGCGUUCUAGAGGAACGUAACAGUGCACUCCGCGAACGCAACGGUUUGAAACAGCAGUGUACCGCCGCGAUUCGCCAGUGGGAUAUCGCAUUAAGAGAGAGAAACGAGUAUCGUGAAGCACUCGCAAAGGUACAGCAACAGCACGAGGAAGCGGUCAAGGAGAUCAAUCAGGCGAUGAUGCUGCGUAUGAAGGCCAGCAAGGAUAUGAAACGUCUCACAGAAGAACGAAAUGCUGCCCUGCAGGAAUACAGCUUGAUCAUGGGAGAACGAGACACGGUACACAAGGAAAUUGAGAAGUUAGGUGAUGAUCUCACGCAAGCGUACACAAAAGUCACGCAUUUGGAAACGCAGAAUAAGCAGCUUGUUGAGGAGAAGAAAACGUUGUCUUAUCAAAUCGAGACUCUAAAGAGAGAGAUCUCUUCCGCUUUGCAAGACAGAGACGACACUCUGAAGUUGUGCAAUGAAUUACGGCAGAAAUUCGGCGAUUACUCCGAAGGUUCUAGCAGAGACUAUAAGCAUCGUUUGGAAUUAAACUCGCUCAGUCACGAACGCGACAGUGUCAGCAAGGAGGCCGAAAAGGAGACUAACACGAGAGAUUACGCGACACGAGAUAAGCAACGCAUGGAUAACUUGGAGCAAGCUAAUUUGGAGUUGGAUAAACUCAGGAAAUCCGUGGAUACUCUUCAAGCGGAGUUGGAGGAGGCCAUUCAAGAGGCCGAGGUGUCUAAGAGAAGAAGAGAUUGGGCCUUCAGUGAGCGCGACAAGAUAGUGUUGGAACGUGAAAGCAUAAGAACUCUGUGUGAUAAAUUACAGAAAGAGCGCGAUCGUGCGGUCUCUGAAUUGGCCGGUGCCUUACGCGAUUCCGACGAUAUUAAGAAGCAACGAAACGAAGCGUCGAAGGAAUUGAAGGAUUUGAAAGAGAAAAUCGAAUUUGGCGACCAUGCAUUGCGAACUAGUCAGCUGGCACAGAUUGAUGAUAGUAAUGACUGGGAUAUGAUUCCAAUUCACGUCGAACCCGGUAGAAUCUGCUUGGAUUCAGAUCGUGGUGACUUGGGACUGAUUCUCGUCGGCGGCCGCGACAGCCCGUAUUAUCCGAACGAUACUGGCGUCUACGUCGCGCAGGUGACACAGGGUAGCGCUCUCGAUGGUAAACUACGGGUGAACGAUUGUAUUGUGCGAGUGAAUAAUGUCGAUUGCACGUCUGUGUCGACCCGUGUGAUCUUAGAAACUCUGCGCUCGUCCACCGUGAAUCCGGCAACAUUAAUCGUAAAGCGGCGACGGAUAACCAGGCGAUCAUUGAGAACUACACAGUUAUCGGUCGGCACAGUGCCACAUGGUAUUACUUUAGAACUUGGCAUCUACAUUUCAAAAAUAUCGCCCGGAAGUUUGUCUGCUAAAGAUGGAAACCUUGCUGUAGGAGACAGGGUAUUAAACAUUAAUAGUAAACCCAUGGACAUUAUAACCACAGCACAUGAAGCGAUGGCUAUUCUAAACGAUGAUACUGUAGAUGUAUUAACCAUUACGACGUUGAAAGGUAUUCCGGUACCCUCCGCUGCCAGCUCGGAGACGGUGACGAUAGACGGCAGUUUUGUUGCGGAGAAACAAAAGAUGGUAAAUAGCUGUUCGCAAACUGAACAGGAGAGAAUGAUGCUGAAAGCCUCAUCAGAUGAUUACGAGAGACGAUAUCUGUCAACGAAUUUCGCUGACCGUAACGUCUAUAAGGCUGCGAAAUCUGUGAGCGGCGAGAAAUCGAGUGGAAUCAGCAAUGCUUGGGAUAACUUUAGAGAGAAGAUUGACAUAGUGCGUGGUCGCAAACACAGCAAGGAGCGCGACGAUAGCAAGAAGAAGGGCCAUCGCAAUUCUAGUCCGAAUACCUUUGAGCAGGAACAGGACGCCAUAGCGGAAUUGGAUUCGGUGAUCGACAGCUACCACAAGAAGGCGAGCAACAGCAACAACGGCGUGUUGAAGCGCAGCAAGCGCCGUGGCACUGAGAAGAUUGAGAAGAACGGCGGCACGUGGCCGAAGGCGCGUGGCGGACCCCUCAUACAAAAUGGGACCGGUACUAUAUUGCACCCGCGCAAAUCGAAAGAACGUUUUCCUCUCAGUGUACUCCUGCAUCCACCAAAAUACGAUAAUUAUAAUUAUAAUCGUAUCUCCAACCCCAUCCCCCUGACCAAUUUUUCCAAUGUCAAUAAUCGUCAUACCGUUUACAAAGCAGUGGAGACCCCGCUACCGAGCUUCAAGACCGGACAGCUCUUUAACCAGAAGCCAUCGUUCACGCCGGCGGUGCAGUUCAAGGACAUUCCGAUCGACGGUGGCAGCAAGAAGCCGCCGUCGACGGAGUUCGAGAGCAGCACGUCGGAGGCCGGGCGACUUGGCUCCGCGCUGGCGCCAUCCGAGACUAGCAUCGAUUUCUCGGUCAAGUCCGGCGGUGCCGGUCGCGAUGUCGACUCGUACUUCGCGAACAAACGGCCGCAAAAGUAUACGACCGGCAGCAGUAGCGACACGCAGGUGACCACGGAUACGCUACAGCACAAUCGCGUUCACUCACAGCUCUACUCAUCGGGCAUCGGUGGUUCGUCCACGUCUGCCGCGUCAACCACCAGCGGGCCGACGUCGCGACAGCAAAUGGCACCUGGUAACUUUCCGUUUCCCUCGCAUCAUCCAUACGCCGCGUCGUCGCACCUGCAUCAUCUGCAUCCGCAUCCCACUCAGCACCAGAAUUCCUUGCCCUCACGUUAUCCCUCGCCACCGUCGCUGCCGUCCGCGCAAUCAGGCGAGUCCAUAGGUCUGCCUGACGCACGUACCUACUGUUUCGAGCCCCCAUAUAGCCCCGGACCUUCGCAGACGACCCCGACCACUUUCGGCCAUCUGCACACGCCCUCCGUAGAUCUGCACUAUCACAAGCCACGUGCACUUCCGCUCGGUAUACCCUGCGACACGUCUAUCUAUGGGCAUGGAUACGAAGGUGGCACAUUGCCAGGCCGGAAGGAAGACCAGCGCAUCCGUAUACCGUCCAACACCAGUGUCACGUCCAAGAGUAGUGUUGGCAAAUUGUCUACUGGCAGCAUAGAAAGAACUUCCGAGCGUGGCAGCCCGAUGCCGACGUUUCACGUAGAAGUGUUGAGCCCAGGCACCGGUAGUACUAGUGGGAUUGGAAGCAGCGGCGGUACUGUGAGAGGAAACAGUAGCAGCAACAAGCGCGCCAGUAUGCCAGACUACUGUUACUCGCAGCCACGGCCAGCACCCGGAGAAUUGCGCAGAGUCCAUAUAGACAAGUCCGUGGAGCCGUUGGGAAUUCAAAUCUCGUGCCUGGAGAGUGGUGGUGUGUUCGUCUCCACCGUAUAUGAACACAGCCUGGCAUCGCAAGUCGGUUUACAGAUUGGUGACCAAUUGUUGGAGGUUUGCGGUAUAAAUAUGCGAAGUGCGACCUAUCAACUGGCUGCUAAUGUUCUACGUCAGUGCGGUAACUCGAUUACAAUGCUGGUGCAAUACAGCCCGGAUAAAUACACCGAGUUAGAAGGCUCGGCAUCCUCGAGUUCGUCGGAAGCCGGCGACGGAGCCGCGACUGGAAGUCGUAGCGGCUCGCCAACACCGUGCAAUAGUCCAGAAGCACCUCGAAAGAGUACAGUGGAAACGUUGGAGCCCGCUGAACCUGAACGCGACGCAACCAUCACUAUCACCACCACUGCUCCUACCGUUACCACUACUGCUGCACCUACAAUGAGCACAUUGCGCGUCGAGCACAUGCGGCCAUCCGCCUCGCUGGAAGUAAGAAGCACACAAGAGCGGGAACGUGAAAUGAGACCCUCUGCGUCGUUGGACAUCAACAUUCGUAAACCGGAACUUCGCAGCGCUGCCACGCUGGAUCGAUUGAGUCGCGCACAAAUGAUGCGGCAAAACGCGAUGAGAAGUCCCACACAGGAGGAACAGAAUCGAAAGCCACCACCGAGUGCUGAGCCCCGGUAUCUACUGAUUGAGACCAGGAAAUGCUCGAACCUCGGUAUAUCAUUAGUGGGUGGGAACGGUGUCGGUAUCUUCGUACAUUCUGUUCAGCCAGGUUGUCUCGCUGAAGAAGCCGGUCUGUUUGCCGGAGAUAGAAUUCUGGAGUACAACGGCGUAGAUCUGAGACAAGCGACCGCCGAGCAAGCCGCGCUUGAGCUGGCUCGACCAGCGGACAAGGUGACGCUAGUCGCUCAAUACAUGCUAGAGCGAUAUAACGAAGUGAAAGACAAGCCAGGCGACAGUUUUUACGUGAAGGCGCUAUUUGACAGAACUGGCGAAGUAGGUGAUAGUCUGCAGCUACGAUUUAGUAAGGACGAUAUUCUUUACGUGGAUAAUACUAUGUUCAACGGCACACCCGGCCACUGGCGCGCCUGGAUAGUUGAUCAAACCGGUCGUAGGCAGACUUGCGGGAUAAUUCCAAGCAAAUUUAAGGUUGAAGAAGAAUUGCUCCUACGUCGGUCUUUGGGUGACUUGGAACAAGACACUGGCAAACGCAGCAAUACUAGUGCGAGAAGAAGUUUUUUCCGUCGAAAAAAACAGCAACAACGAUCGUCCAGUAGUAGAGAUAGUUGCAAGGAAAUAUCGCAUCUUACGGGAGUCAAUCUGGGAUGGUACAGCGACAGUGGGACGUUAAACGAAGACACUCUUCCAGCGAGUUAUCAGCGCGUCGAGAGACUCGAUUAUCCUACUCUUAGACCCGUGUUGAUCAUCGGUCCGCUCAGCGAAUGUGUGGUAACGAAACUUUUGCAAGAAUACCCGGGACAGUUUACCAGAUGUCUGGCAGAGGCGAUGCAUUGUUCGCAAUCGACUUUGGAGCAAGGAUUACGCGAUUCUCUCUAUGUGGAUUAUAGGAAAAAAGGCAGCUAUUUCGAAUGCACAACAGUCCAAGCCGUUAAAGAUAUAUGCGAGAAGAAUACGCAUUGUAUUUUGGAUGUAUCAAUGGCUUCCAUUGAGAGGCUUCAUAGACAUCAAAUUUAUCCUAUCGUCCUAUUAAUCAAAUUCAAGGAUAGGACACAAAUUAAAGAGGUAAAGGAUUCCAGAUAUCCAAGCGACAAAAUCAGUACAAAGGCUGCAAAAGAGAUGUUUGAACAGGCGCUCAAGAUAGAGGCAGAGUACAAGCAUUACAUUUCUGCCGUGAUUCCGGCGGGCGUAAGUGUGGCAUAUAUAUGCACACAGGUGAAAGCCUCAGUAGAAGAGGAACAGAGCAAAGCACUGUGGAUUCCUAGAGGAGGUCCCUGACACAAAAGGGGGGGUCCCCACAAGCCGCAGUGGAAGUCAAUCUAAAUUCCACCAGGGGGCCCUUACGUCGUGCAUAUUUGCGAAAAUUGUUGUGCAAAAUCAGUUCUUUUAUUUAUGGUCUCUUGAUUUCGGAAGAAGGAUAUUAUGCGCUUCACAGAUAUUUUUGCUUAACAAAGUAUCGCUCAAUUUGGUUGUGAUAGGACGAAUUCUUGCGAAUUAUUUUGUUUUAGCGCAUUUAACUCGUUGAAUUAUCAAUAUAAAACAGCAGGUCGCCUUCAACAUACACACUGCAUUAUUUGGCGACUGGCCAGUCAGAAAACAAUUGGAUCACGGAUAACGGUCC
rnacentral:misc_RNA from 1 species